rnacentral:rRNA from 1 species
CAAAGGUUUGGUCCUGACUUUUCUACCAGCUCUAGCUAAACUUACACAUGCAAGUAUCCGCGCCCCCGUGAGAAUGCCCUAUAGUUCCCUGCCCGGGAACAAGGAGCUGGUAUCAGGCACAUAAACCUAGCCCACGACGCCUUGCUCAGCCACACCCUCAAGGGUACUCAGCAGUGAUAAACAUUGACCCAUAAGUGAAAACUUGACUCAGUUAAAGCUAAGAGGGCCGGUAAAACUCGUGCCAGCCACCGCGGUUAUACGGGAGGCCCAAGUUGUUAGAAGUCGGCGUAAAGGGUGGUUAAGAACAAGCUUAAAAUUAAAGCCGAACACCUUCCGAGCUGUUAUACGCAUCCGAAGGUAAGAAGCUCAAUUACGAAAGUAGCUUUAUAAUUUCUGAACCCACGAAAGCUAGGACACAAACUGGGAUUAGAUACCCCACUAUG